GCUGGGUGUGGUGGCGCACACCUGUAAUCCCAGCUACUUGGGAGGCUGAGGCAUGAGAAUCGCUUGAGCCUGGGAGGCCGAUGUUGCAGUGAGCCGAGAUUGCACCACUACACUCCAGCCUGGGCAAUACAGUGAGACUCUGUCUCAA
rfam:Homo sapiens chromosome 10, GRCh38 reference primary assembly.